GUUAUAUGGUCAAGCGAAUAAGCGCACAUGGUGGAUGCCUUGGCGGUCAGAGGCGAUGAAGGACGUGGUAGCCUGCGAAAAGUGUCGGGGAGCUGGCAACAAGCUUUGAUCCGGCAAUAUCCGAAUGGGGGAACCCACUGUUUAGGCAGUAUCUUUGAGUAAAUUCAUAGCUCAAGGAGGCGAACCUGGUGAACUGAAAUAUCUAAGUAACCAGAGGAAAAGAAAUCAACAGAGAUUCCCUGAGUAGUGACGAGCGAACGGGGAUUAGCCCUUAAGCUAGUAUGGUUUUAGGAAAGCAAUCUGGAAAGGUUGGCCAUAGAAGGUGAUAGCCCUGUAUCCGAAAGGGCCGUACUAGUGAAGAUGAGUAGGACGGGGCACGUGAAACCUUGUCUGAAUAUGGGGGGUCCAUCCUCCAAGGCUAAAUACUCCUGACCGACCGAUAGUGAACUAGUACCGUGAGGGAAAGGCGAAAAGAACCCCGGAGAGGGGAGUGAAAUAGAACCUGAAACCAUGUGCGUACAAGCAGUAGGAGCCCUUAUGGGUGACUGCGUACCUUUUGUAUAAUGGGUCAGCGACUUACUGUUCGUGGCGAGCUUAACCGUAUAGGGGAGGCGAAGGGAAACCGAGUCUGAUAAGGGCGCAUAGUCGCGGGCAGUAGACCCGAAACCGGGUGAUCUAGUCAUGUCCAGGGUGAAGGUGCUGUAACAGGUACUGGAGGCCCGAACCCACUCCCGUUGCAAAGGUAGGGGAUGAGGCGUGAUUAGGAGUGAAAAGCUAAUCGAACCCGGAGAUAGCUGGUUCUCCUCGAAAGCUAUUUAGGUAGCGCCUCAUAUGUAUCCUCUCGGGGGUAGAGCACUGUUAUGGCUAGGGGGUCAUCGCGACUUGCCAAACCAUUGCAAACUCCGAAUACCGAGAAGGACUGUAUGGGAGACACACGGCGGGUGCUAACGUCCGUCGUGAAAAGGGAAACAACCCAGACCCACAGCUAAGGUCCCAAAUUCAUAGCUAAGUGGAAAACGAUGUGGAAAGGCAUAGACAGCCAGGAGGUUGGCUUAGAAGCAGCCAUCCUUUAAAGAAAGCGUAAUAGCUCACUGGUCGAGUCGGUCUGCGCGGAAGAUUUAACGGGGCUAAGCUAUGAACCGAAGCUUGGGGUGCAUAUUUUUAUAUGCGCGGUAGAGGAGCGUUCCGUAAGCCUGUGAAGGUGAGUUGAGAAGCUUGCUGGAGGUAUCGGAAGUGCGAAUGCUGACAUGAGUAACGAUAAUAUGGGUGAAAAACCCAUACGCCGAAAGCCUAAGGUUUCCUUGCGCAACGUUAAUCGGCGCAGGGUUAGUCGGCCCCUAAGGCGAGGGCGAAAGCCGUAGUCGAUGGGAAGCAGGUUAAUAUUCCUGCACCUCGCGUGAGUGCGAUGGAGGGACGGAGAAGGCUAGGUGUACCGGGCGUUGGUUGUCCCGGGGAAAGGAGGUAGGCUGGUUCCUUAGGAAAAUCCGGGGGUCCUUUUAAAGCCGAGCACCGAGACGAGUCUUUUUAGAUGAAGUCACUGAUGCCACGCUUCCAGGAAAAGCUUCUAAGCUUCAGCUCACGAAGACCGUACCGUAAACCGACACAGGUAGGUAGGAUGAGAAUUCUCAGGCGCUUGAGAGAACUCGGGUGAAGGAACUAGGCAACAUGGCACCGUAACUUCGGGAGAAGGUGCACCCUUUUUGGUGGCGCGUGCGCGUUAUAGCUGAAGAGGGUCGCAGAAACCAGGCCGCUGCGACUGUUUAUCAAAAACACAGCACUCUGCAAACACGAAAGUGGACGUAUAGGGUGUGACGCCUGCCCGGUGCUGGAAGGUUAAUUGAUGGGGUUAGCUGUAAAAAGCGAAGCUCUUGAUCGAA
rnacentral:rRNA from 1 species